rnacentral:rRNA from 1 species
AUUGAACGCUGGCGGCAGGCCUAACACAUGCAAGUCGAACGCGUGGCGGACGGGUGAGUAAUGUCUUGGAAACUGCCUGAUGGAGGGGGAUAACUACUGGCAACGGUAGCUAAUACCGCAUACCAGCAGAAGUUCCCAGCAGGGAUUCGCUAGUGGGUGGGGUAACGGCUCACCGAGGCGACGAUCCCUAGCUGGUCUGAGAGGAUGACCAGCCACAUGGGAACUGUGAAACGGUCCAGACUCCUACGUGAGGCAGCAGGGGGGAAUAUGGCACAAUGGGCGCAAGCCUGAUGCAGCCAUGCCGCGUGUAUGAAGAAGGCCUUCGGGUUGUAAAGUACUUUCAGCGGGGAGGCGUUACCCGCAGAAGAAGCACCGGCUAACUCCGUGCCAGCAGCCGCGGUAAUAC